rnacentral:piRNA from 1 species
UCAGUUACGAGAUUGCCAAGGAGAAGGGUC